rnacentral:rRNA from 1 species
CCUACGGGAGGCUGCAGUGAGGAAUAUUGGUCAAUGGGCGCGGGCCUGAACCAGCCAAGUAGCGUGAAGGAUGACUGCCCUACGGGUUGUAAACUUCUUUUAUAAAGGAAUAAAGUGAGGCACGUGUGCCUUUUUGUAUGUACUUUAUGAAUAAGGAUCGGCUAACUCCGUGCCAGCAGCCGCGGUAAUACGGAGGAUCCGAGCGUUAUCCGGAUUUAUUGGGUUUAAAGGGAGCGUAGAUGGGUUGUUAAGUUAGUUGUGAAAGUUUGGGGCUUAACCGUAAAAUUGCAAUUGAUACUGGAAGUCUUGAGUACAGAUGAGGUAGGCGGAAUUCGUGGUGUAGCGGUGAAAUGCUUAGAUAUCACGAAGAACUCCGAUUGCGAAGGCAGCUUACUAGACUGCCACUGACAUUGAUGCUCGAGAGUGUGGGUAUCAAACAGGAUUAGAUACCCCAGUAGUC